CUCUGGUGCGGGCUCUUCAUGGUGCCACGGUCUCAUUUGAGGGACACCCAUCUUGUCUGGCAUAGGGUCUUCCAAGGGCUGUAGAACAAGAGUUACCAGCCUCCCCCAAUUCCUCUUGAUCCAGAGUGACUCCGAUGAAGUCUGAAUAUGUGGGAAAAGUUUGUUUACAGAAGAAGUGAUAGCAGCGUUCUCCAAGUGAUAGUGAUGCAGACGGUCGCUAGGCUGAU